rnacentral:rRNA from 1 species
AACGAACGCUGGCGGCAUGCCUAACACAUGCAAGUCGAACGAGACCUUCGGGUCUAGUGGCGCACGGGUGCGUAACGCGUGGUAACCUGCCCUUAGGUUCGGAAUAACUCCCCGAAAGGGGUGCUAAUACCGGAUAAUGUCUUUGGACCAAAGAUUUAUCGCCUUUGGAUGGGCCCGCGUUGGAUUAGCUAGUUGGUAGGGUAAAAGCCUACCAAGGCGACGAUCCAUAGCUGGUCUGAGAGGAUGAUCAGCCACACUGGGACUGAGACACGGCCUAGACUCCUACGGGAGGCAGCAGUGGGGAAUAUUGGACAAUGGGCGAAAGCCUGAUCCAGCAAUGCCGCGUGAGUGAUGAAGGCCUUAGGGUUGUAAAGCUCUUUUACCCGGGAUGAUAAUGACAGUACCGGGAGAAUAAGCUCCGGCUAACUCCGUG